GAUGAACGCUGGCGGCGUGCCUAAUACAUGCAAGUCGAGCGAACAGAUGAUGAGCUUUCUCCUCUGACGUUAGCGGCGGACGGGUGAGUAACACGUGGAUAACCUACCUAUAAGACUGGGAUAACUUCGUGAAACCGGAGCUAAUACCGGAUAAUAUAUUGAACCGCAUGGUUCAAUAGUGAAUGACGGUUUUGCUGUCACUUAUAGAUGGAUCCGCGCCGCAUUAGCUAGUUGGUAAGGUAACGGCUUACCAAGGCAACGAUGCGUAGCCGACCUGAGAGGGUGAUCGGCCACACUGGAACUGAGACACGGUCCAGACUCCUACGGGAGGCAGCAAUAGGGAAUCUUCCGCAAUGGGCGAAAGCCUGACGGAGCAACGCCGCGUGAGUGAUGAAGGUCUUCGGAUCGUAAAACUCUGUUAUUAGGGAAGAACAACUGUGUAAGUAACUAUGCACGUCUUGACGGUACCUAAUCAGAAAGCCACGGCUAACUACGUG
rnacentral:rRNA from 1 species